AAAAUCUAAAAGAUAAUUAUGAUAAUUUGAAUUAGUUGUUGGUUUUUUUCUUUUUCCUAGAAAUAUUUUUUCUAGAAAUGAUGAAGCUAUUUUUAGUAUGUUUACAAAUUUGUUUAAUCGUGACCUAUGAUAUUGGAACAAAAUCCUCUUUGAGAGGAAUCCUAGAGCAUUUAUUCUCAUUUUAAUAUGGUUAAAAUGCACGGUAUAGUGAAAGAUCAAGAUACUAGCGAUGGAGUCACGAGAACGUAGUAGGCAGAAAAGAAAUGGAUGUGUGUGCUUGACAGCAUUUCCGGUACGGUCUGAAGUGGUGUAGCUUAAUGACUCGGUAUAUGAUAGCCAGGAUUUGAGGAUUAUGCAUUAUGAGAAAUGCGAAAGAUAGGAUAAUUGAAGAAAAAUUAUGGAAAAUGGAUAUUAUUCAAGGAUACCAAGUUUUUAUAAAAUCAUGAUUCUAUUUUUUUUUUUUUUUAAGUUUGAGAAUGAUUAUAUAUCAAAAACGCGAGAGAUAGGAUAAAUUUGAAAAAAAUGUGCGUGGAAAAUGGAUAUUAUUUAAAAAUGCCAAGUUUUUAAUCUAAUCUAAAUCGUGAUUCUCUUUUUUUUAUUUUAUUUCCUUUUGAGAUUUGAUAAAGAUACAAAGAUAAUUGGAAAAGAAACAUGUUUUAUUUAAGAGCAAAAAUUUUUAUGUAAAAAUUAAUAAUUUAUAAUAUUGUAAUUUUUUUAAGAAUCUAAUUUUUAUAAUUCUAAGCAUUUAAAAAACAUAAAAAUGAUUUCAAGCAAAUUUAAAUAUCUUUGAAAAAUUAAAAAGAGAAUCUUAAAUAUAAUUUAAUAUUCAAAUUUGCACUUAAACAAAAGCAUAAAAUAUUAGUUAAAUUACAACGAUCCUAUAUUUAUUCGAUAUUUUUUUUAAUAGAAAAAUAUAUAUCAAAAAAUCAUAGAUUUUUAUAAGAAGGAAAGGCAAGGCGCGAAAGAUGAACAUUGUUCAUGGAAUAAUAAUAAAUAACAUUUAGAUUGACGUAAAAAAUCG